rnacentral:rRNA from 1 species
GUCGGAACGUGCCCAGAGGACGGGGAUAGCGGCGGGAAACUGCCGGUAAUACCCGAUGAUCUCGAGAGAGCAAAGGUGUGAUUCCGCCUUUGGAGCGGCCGACAUGGUAUUAGCUAGUUGGCGGGGUAACGGCCCACCAAGGCUGUGAUGCCUAGGGGAUGUGAGAGCAUGAUCCCCACCAUUGGGACUGAGACACUGCCCAGACACCUACGGGUGGCUGCAGUCGAGAAUCUUCGUCAAUGGGCGAAAGCCUGAACGAGCGACGCCGCGUGCGGGAUGAAGGCCUUUGGGUUGUAAACCGCUGUCGAGGGGGAUGAAGGCUUGAGGGUACUCCUUCAAGUUUGACAGAGCCCUGGAGGAAGCACGGGCUAAGUUCGUGCCAGCAGCCGCGGUAAUACGAACUGUGCGAACGUUAUUCGGAAUCACUGGGCUUACAGGGUGCGUAGGCGGCUUUUCAAGUCAGGUGUGAAAGCCCCCAGCUCAACCAGGGAAUUGCGCUUGAAACUGGAGAGCUC